AACGCAUCUUGCGCUCCUUGGUAUUCUGAGGAGCAUGCCUGUUUGAGUGUCAUUAAUAUCUCAACCAUACUCAUGUUGGAGGGUAUGGCUUGGACGUGGGGGUUACAGGCCCUUAUUUGUGGUCUGCUCCCCUGAAAUACAUGAGUGGCAAAGCCCCUCCAUUAGGUGUGAUACUUAUCUGCAUCUAUGGGGAUCUACUUGUUGCUGCUGGAUCGUAUGUUGUUGUUGUUGUUCUUGACCUCAAAUCAGGUAGGACCACCCGCUGAACUUAA
rnacentral:misc_RNA from 1 species